rnacentral:rRNA from 1 species
GACGAACCGUGCGAACGUUAUUCGGAAUCACUGGGCUUAAAGCGCGUGUAGGCGGGAGGGCACGUCCGUCGCUGAAAUCCCCCGGCUCAACCGGGGAACGGGCGCGGAUACGACCUUCCUGGAGGGGCGUAGGGGGACCUGGAACUUCCGGUGGAGCGGUGAAAUGCGUUGAGAUCGGAAGGAACGCCCGCGGCGAAAGCGAGGUCCUGGACGUCUUCUGACGCUGAGACGCGAAAGCCAGGGGAGCGAACGGG